AGAUGUGAGGGCAAUCUGGCUGUGAUAUCUGUCACCCCAUUGAUUGCCAGGGUUGAUUCAGCUGAUCUGGCAGCCUGGGCAGGUGUCCCCUUCCUCCCUCAUGGCCCCGUGUGCGUCCCUCCUGAAGCUGUGCGCUCCCUGGAAGAGGACGACCAUCCCCGACAGACCAGUCUACGGUCAAGGCCGAGAGUAGCUGCGCUCCCCUGCUAGAACCUCCAAACGAGCUCCCCAAAAGUGGGGUAGAGACACAGCCACAGAGGGAGCCAGUUCAGAGGCCUUCACAGGCCUGGUUGUUUUUCUCUGAUGCU
ensembl:misc_RNA 7SK 7SK RNA